rnacentral:lncRNA from 1 species
AAAAACCGGAGGCUGAUAAGGAUUGCAGGAAACUCAUGGAGUUGUUCCGAGGUUAAAAUGAGAGUCUGCCUGUGGAAGGACAUUGCAGAUGAUAGAAGACACAGAUAAGGAGGUCAGAUCUCAAGAGGACAGGAGUCAUGUGAACACGUGGGAAGAAGAAGAAACUACAGAGACUGUGAAUGAGCCCCCAGAAGUCAAGGGCAUUAUCUGAUAAUCCAGAGACUGGGAGCUGCGACCAUCACUGGAAGGGAGAGUGAGACACAACGGGAUGGCUGCAGGAGCAGAAAUCAGGAGUGAGGCCUGAUCCAAAGCCUGACUGCAACUCUUUACUUCCGAUGUAGGUGAAGCCUUUGCUAAAAUGCACUCAGCUCUCAGCUAGUCCUACUUAGGGGAAGAACCAGCUCCAAGAGUAAUCCAAAAUGGUGGGUAAUCUUAGAAAGUAUUUAAAUAUGGCCUUAGAAUAUAGGAUAAAGUCAGGCCCUCUAAAAAGUGUUAGCUUGCUUAGCCUUAGAUGUAUGUUCUUAAUCACUUUUUACUUAAGCUGAACUGGGUUGCAUAGCAAUUGGAUGGGAGGCAGGGCAUCCAGGGGAGCCCAACAAGAGGAAAAGGAAGAGCGUGCCCGGGAUUGAACACACCCAGAGGGGAAUCAGGAGUUGGCCCCUUUGGGCUUAUGCACAAGAGCAAGUGAAAUGCCACAAGCAAGUAAAGGUGGCUCAUUUUAAGAGACAGGUCUCUAUAGGGUCUCAACUUCCUGACCGUGCCCCCAACAAAGCUGCAAAGGAUGGAAGGGCAAUAAAAUCUGUGGGCUUAGAGAAUGUUGGGGACAUCUUUACCCUGGUCCUGGGCUCAAGAUCCUGCAGUUUCUUGAGCCAUUACUGCUUUUAAGAGAAUAGGGCUGAAUCUGGAGAUCCCAGGUGCUGGGAGAAGGGGAGCCUGGGCUAUUGGGUUGUCUGUGCGGAUUUGCUGGAAGGAAGGAAGGGUCAUGGCAAGGAGGCCUAUAUUAGGCUACCAGCUGUCCCAGGUACUUUCACACCCUGCACCCAGGUUUCUGGUGGGAGGAAGGUGAAUUGGUAGAGACCCCAUGCAAUUCCUGGUCUUAGUCAGAUAUCUGCUUGAUGUGGUGGCCCAUCCUCCUGCUUGAAACCUAGGAGUUACUUCUCAGGAGUGAAAUCUGGUAGUGAGAGAAAAGAAUAGAGAAAGAGAUUCCUUGAAAGAUCCUGGGGGAUAUAGACACAGGCCAGGCAAAGGUGAUUACAUCUGAUCUUUUGUUUGUGCCUGUUAAUUCAUAGCUCUGGGGGCAGGGCAAUGGGUCUGAGUAUAUGUCUGCAUUUCAUGUGUAUUGUGCGAUAUUUUUGGGCAUGUGUGCUAUGUAUCUUGUAUGCCUAUUAUAAGUUAAUGCAUCGUGUGUAUAUACUGAGUUUGUGUGUAUUUUAUGUGUAGAAACAAUGGUAAAGUAGCCUUUGUGUAUCUUAUAUGCAUAUGCAUUUUGUCCAUGUAGUUUUUUAUGUAUUUUGCAUCUGAGUUUCAGGUUGUAUAUUUGUAUGUGGUGUAUGUUUGUCUUUUGUGUAUGUUCUGUGUAAAUUCUAUAUCUGUGCAGAGUGUGCAUUUUAUAUACAAUUAUAACCAUAUAUCUUCUGUGUUUGCUUUUAUGUUAACCUGGUCUGUCUGUAUUUUGCACGUUACAUGUUUUAUGUUUGUGUGUGACAACAGUGUACCUAUUUUGUGGUGAAUGUGCAUGACUGUAUGUGAACAUUUUAGAGUCCUGGGCCAAGGACACUGUGAUAAGAUAUCUAUCCCUGACCUAGGCCUCAGAUAUGGGUUGCUUUACCUUCUAUUUUCCAAAGAUCUGUGUCCCUCCCACCCCAUGCCUUGGAAAUUCAGCACCACCUCCCAUGAAGGAGAGGAAGAGAAGCACAGAGGCUUUGUGCUGGGCAUGGGAUGCCCUGCAGAUACCUGGGGAUGUGGGUGACCAGGCACUAAUGAGCACCCUGGGCCUAGCACCCUGAGCUGGUGCCCCAUGCCCCAAGACAACUGUAGGUGCUAACUAGGCAGCAGUGAGGCCUGGGCUGGAGCCACCCCUGCAUAGCCCGACCCCUGCAAUUCACUGUUUGGGAAAAUUAAGCUACUCCGUCAAAAGGCAAAGACGCCCAGUCUGGUGAGUUAAAAGCCCCCUACCUGAAGCCAUUUCAGGGUCAACCUACUGUCUACCUUUAGGCUGUGCAGUGCUCAUUUGCACUCUACUUCUUCUGGGGGGUGGGAAAUGAUUCUUUACCCAUCCUUUGGUUCUUUUUAAAAAGCAGCUCUGGUUGCCAGUUUAAUGGGGAGAGAGUUUGGGUCUGGAGAUCAAAAUGAUGCCUUUGGAUCAUCUAGGGACUCCAUCACUUAGUCCCGGACUUCAGACAUUUCCACAUAGAGGAGGCUCCCUUUAGGUCCAGAUCAGUGGAAUUUGGUCCCAGGGAGUCCUACUCCUUGGUGUCCUUGGUUUCAAAGCAGGGGAUCCAUUCUGGCUCUUUAGCGAAAGGUUUGUGAAAGUGACGGAUGCAGAGCCAAAUGAUAAUAAGAUCCAAGUGGCAAGGGAAGAGGUGAAAAUGGAGAUGAUGAACAGGAUGAACUGUAGAGAGGAGGCCCGGGGUGGGUCUGGCCCAGGACAGCUGGAACUGUGAGGGCCACAGGGCCCUUGUGCACUCAGUAAGACAAGCUUCAGCCAUGGGAACUGAAGCUGCAGCACAUGGAGGGCAGAAAGACAAUUCUAACGUCUAGGAAUCCAUGGAUACCGGAGUGUCUGAGGCAAUGGCAGCAAACCCAGGCCCAGUGGGGUUACCAAUGAGACAAAUUAACCCAUUAGGCCUCUUAGACAGCCAACCCACCAAGCAGUGGAUUUGCUCCUGAACCUGAACUCCAGAAAAUGAAUAUAUAUAUAUAUAUAUGUGUGUGUGUGUGUGUGUGUGUGUGUGUGUGUGUAUACAUAUACACACAUAUGUAUGUAUAUAUAUACACCCUAGUGCACAUAGUCAAACACAUGCAUAAAUUGCCCUUUGUCAAAAAUAUUGCAUAAGCUUGUACAAUGUUCAAAUGCAAUUUCUUUUCUAUCACUAGCUAGGUAGAGGAACGCGUGAAAGAGAGAUACUCGAUAUAUAUUUAUAUACACUGGAUCCACAGACCUGCCUGUCAUCAGGACCAGAUGCCCUGGUCCACUGUACAGUCAUGCCCGCG